rnacentral:sRNA from 1 species
UUUGUGUUGGCCAUUCCUAGGCGACUGC